CCCUUCAGCGGGGGAUAACAGUCCGAAAGGAUUGCUAAUACCGCAUACGUCGGUGAAGGCUUCGGUCUUUAUCGGGAAAGGUGGCCUCUUCAUGAAAGCUACCACUGAAGGAGCAGCCCGCGGCCCAUCAGCUAGUUGGUGAGGUAACGGCUCACCAAGGCAGAGACGGGUAGCUGGUCUGAGAGGAUGAUCAGCCACACUGGAACUGAGACACGGUCCAG
rnacentral:rRNA from 1 species